GCGCUGGCACGCCAGCGCCAAGCGCAGCCCGGGUUCCCGUCCGCGGCUCUCCCUCCACACCUCCCCGCAAGCAGAGGGAGCCGGCUCUGGCCUCGGCCAGCUCAGAGACGGGCUCCCACAGUGCAGCGGCAGGCUGAAGGGCUCCUCAAGCACUGCCAGAGUGGACGCCGAGCCGAGGAGUAGCCAAGAGCGAUGAAACAAGCUUCCGGUUCAAGGGUUUCUUCAGGUUCCACUACGGGCUGUUCUUCUGCAGGUGCGCCGAUGUCCACAGUGCUACCUUCUGAUGAGCUACUGCUUUCAUUCAGUUUCUGCUGACUUAAUAUGUGAGCUGACAGAAUGCAGAGACGACCACGUUGUAUGUGAAGCAUCCACUUUGCCUUGUACACCAGGGCAUUCAAUAACCACUUAAUAACUACAACCCUGAUGAUGAGGUCUCGCUAUGUUGCCUAGGCUAGUCUUGAACUCCUGGCCUCAAGUGAUCCUUUUGCCUCAGCAUCCGGAGUCACUGGGAUUAAAGGCAUGAGCCACCGUGCUCAGAAUACAAACAAAGACCCAUUUUUCUAGAAGAAGUAACGGGGAAGACAGAGUAAGAAAGAGAUAAUGAUGAACAUUGUCUAAUGUUACAGCAUAAUCUAGUAAGAUACUGUUUUUCACAAAUUGAAAGUUUGUGGCAACCCUACGUCGAGCAAGUCUAUUGGUGCCAUUUUUCCAACAGCAUGGGCCCACUUCGUGUAUCUGUGUCACAUUUUGGAACUUGACAUCAUCAGACAGUAAAUCAAGAGGUACUGACAACUGAGACUGAGUGAUGGUCCCUGCCUAGGAUUUGGAAUCUUUGCAUGAAAUAGGGACUCUAGCCACCAGCGACAAAGAAGUCAGGGAGACUGUUGUCUCUAGGAAGCACUUCCAGGAAA
rnacentral:antisense_RNA from 1 species